AAAGAAUAAACAUAUACAUGACUCAUAAACUUUUAUAGAAUCCUUGUUCUCUAUUCCUGACAUAAUUUCUUGUGGUUCUUUUUCUUCCUAGGGUCAGAAUAAAAUCUUUCAAAAGAUUUCUUGGGAACUGAGAUAAGAGCAGAUUUGCGUCCCUUAUCAGUGGGUCUUUAGCUCCAUGGUGCACGUAUGCAAGGAGGAACCUGGCUUUUGUGAGUCCCUUCCAAAGUAAUGAGUCUGUCUGGAUCUCUCAGUAACCAUACGAAUGAAAGCUCUUCUCAAAAUAAAUCACCAUGGAGUUUUCUUUGUGGCGCAGUGGAAAUGAAUCCGACUAGGAACCAUGCAGUUGCAGCACACUGCCUUUUACUGCAAGACACAGUUCCUGUUUUAAGGAGUUUAUAGUUUCUGUGGGGAGAUAAGACAAGUGCAUGGAUAUUAGAUAGAAUGCAUUAAAUGUCAGGAACAAGGAAAAUGGCCUAAUGUGCAAUGGGAACUCAGAGGUGAGAAAAAUGUUUUUCUGCUCAUUUCUUUGUGUCUGAAACCCCAUUUGGAAUUGAAGUAUAUGUCUUGUAGUACAGGAGGGACAUGUCUUCAUACAGCAACCUUAUUUUGAUGGUAUUUAAUCCUUAUUCUUUGGCCAUUUGGGAUUCCAUGGAGUCUUUGGAGUGAAGCAGACAGUUAAUUUGUAUUUUCACAUAGUAACUGUUCUUAAGGUAUUUUAGAAAAAAAAAUAAGGCAGAUUUUUGACUCACUAAAUACCUAUGAGUGUACUUGACAUUAAAGGAAUUCAAGAAAAUUAUUUUUUUUUGUCUCUUUGUGCCAUUCAUCAUGCACAAUCCUUUUUUUUUUUUUUAAGAUUUUCUGCUUUUCUGCUUCAAGUUUUACAGAUUUAAGUUUCAUGUCUAUGAUCCAUUUUUAGAUAUGUAUUUUUAAUUUGGUAAAACAUAUAUAUAACACAACCUUACACCUGUUGAAUUUUUUUUUUUUUUUUUUUUUUUGCCUGCCCCAAGGCAUAUGGAGUUCCCAGGCCAGAGAUCAGAUUCAAGCUGCAGUUGUGACCUAAGCUGCAGCUGCAGCAACACCAGAUCCUUAACCCACUUUGCCAGGCCAGGGAUCUAACCUGCAUCCCAGUGCUUCCAAGAUGCUGGUGAUCCCUUUGUGUCACAGUGGGAACUCCCACUUCGUUGAAUUUGAAAUGUGUGUUUAUAUUAUAUAUUGACAGCCCUAAAUGUAGAAGAUGGUUUAUAUAUUUAUCCACGUCUAUCCAGACAUGAAUCGAUUUUUUUUUUGCCAGUUAGGACUAUUAUCACUUAUGCUACUUGUACUAUGAGGAUCCAGGGCUCUAGCAUCCUAGGAGGCAGGAUCACAUAGUGAGUUGGGGUGCACAGUCCCUGAAGUGAGC
rnacentral:lncRNA from 1 species